rnacentral:rRNA from 1 species
CACCGCGGUUAAACGAGAAGGCUCAAAUUGAUAGGAAUCGGCAUAAAGUGUGGUUUAGGAAUAAAUAAUAAUAGGAUUAAAGUGCUUCAAGGCAGUGAUAAGCUUCCGAAGUUACGAAACACAAUCAACGAAAGUAACCCUACCAACCCUGACACCACGAAAACCAUAGAA